rnacentral:rRNA from 1 species
ACGGGAGGCAGCAGUGGGGAAUAUUGGGCGAUGGGCGCAAGCCUGACCCAGCAACGCCGCGUGAGGGAUGAAGGUUUUCGGAUUGUAAACCUCUGUCCUUGGUGACGAACACAAUGACGGUACCACAUGAAUAAGCCACGGCUAACUACGUGCCAGCAGCCGCGGUAAUACGUAGGUGGCAAGCGUUAUCCGGAUUUACUGGGUGUAAAGGGCGCGUAGGCGGGGAUGCAAGUCAGAUGUGAAAUCCAUGGGCUCAACCCAUGAACUGCAUUUGAAACUGUAUCUCUUGAGUGCUGGAGAGGUAGAUGGAAUUCCUAGUGUAGCGGUGAAAUGCGUAGAUAUUAGGAAGAACACCAGUGGCGAAGGCGAUCUACUGGACAGUAACUGACGCUGAGGCGCGAAAGCGUGGGGAGCAAACAGGAUUAGAUACCCUGGUA